AAAGAAAGUCAGCUGAG
rnacentral:misc_RNA from 1 species